rnacentral:lncRNA from 1 species
GUUCUCUAGUUUGCAUGCUCCUUAGCCACAGUCGAGGAACGAUACGAUCUCCAUAUAAUUUUUUGACUCGUGUGCUCCUCUAUCACGAUCGAGGAGUAGUAUGUAUCUCCAUGCGAUUCUCCAUCUCACGUGCUUCUCGAUCAUGAUCGAAGAGCGGUAUGCAUCUCUAUGCAGCUCUCCAAACAUGCAUUCUUCAACCAUGACUGAGGAUCGAAAUAUAUUUUUCAUGCGAUUCUCCAUGUGGUUCUCCAAACACAUGCUCUUCGAUCAUGAUCGAGGAUUGAAACAUGUUCUCCAUGCAGUUCUCCAAAUAUAUGCUCCUCGAUCAUGGUCGAGAAUUAGAACGUGUUCUCCAUGCGGCUCUUCAUCAUGCAAUCCUCGGCCAUGAUCGAAGAAUGAUAUGCGACUCCAGAUGAAUUUUCUAGACUCCAUUCAAUCUUCAUAUGCUUCUCGACUAUGGUCAAGGAAUGAGCAUCCUUAUUCCAACCUUUCUCCUACCGAGCUACAACAGUU